CGGGGUGUGGCUCAGUCCGGUUAGAGCACCUGCUUUGGGAGCAGGGGGUCGAGAGUUCGAAUCCCUCCACCCCGA
rnacentral:tRNA from 1 species